GGUGCGGGGUGCGGGAGAGGGGCCGGUGCUCCUCCCGAAGGGCGCGGCGGGGACGAGCCGGCACGGGGCAGGUUGCUGAGGUUGGCAGCUGGAGCAGGGGCACUCCUGGAGCAGUGGCUGCAGGGACAGGACUGAGGUGGGGUCACUGGUGCUGUGUCUUCCUUCAGUACACCACGGAGCAUCAUCCAAGGUCAUAUUUAUGCCUGUUUUCUAGAAGCCAAGGAAAGGUCACUUGUCAAGGUCACUCGGUGCCAAACGAGUCUCUCCAGUCCAAAUACAUUUUUAAUUCCGUCAUUCUCUGUAAAGCAAACAAGUGGGAAUUGUUGCUGUAAGAUAGAUAUUGGGGUCAUGCCAGCACUAUAAUUACCCGGUGACAGGGUGUUAGGAUUAGGGAUAUGGGAGAUGGCAGAAAGAGCUGCCAGCCAUGGAGGACGUGAGUGGAGCUGGGCCAGGCACUUCAGCAGUGGAUGAGAGGAAAAGCAGGGAUCAAGGUAAGGCAGGGCAGUGUAUGAGACAAAGCAUGUUUGGUGCGUUCUUAGUUGUUGCACAGUAAAAUCUCAGGGCUGCCUUCAUUUUUUUUUCCUUUUGUUUUUGACUGCACUGUGAUUGGAGGAAAGGAGGUUGAUUCAUAACAGACUAGUUUUUUUCCCCAACGAUCCAGUGAGAAAACAACAGGAAAACUAGGCUGUAGAUCUGUGUUUGAAACAGAGAAAUGAAAUCCAAGACUAAAGACAAGUCUGAUUUUGUGAAGACAAAAACAAACAAUGAUAGGUGGAAUGUUUAGAACUGUUUAUCUGUAGUUUUAAUUCUCCUGACAGGAAAAAAAAAAAAAAAAGCUGGCACAUCCCUUCAUGGCUUUCAUCGGCUUAUGAGAUUGUACUACUCUGAUAAAUAUAAUCAUAAUUUGCUUUUACUAUAUUUUUUAGUAAGUGGAAAUUCAGUGUGGCUGUUGCUUACAGCACACAAUGUGCCAUAACUAAUCAAAGGGAGAAGGAAAGGUAUAAAAGGAAAGUGGAGAAAGUGGGAAUAAAUUUAGGUCCAUUAGGAGUUACAUUUGAAGGAAUGAGUUGCAAAAGUAGAAAUAAUUGAGAGCACUUUGGAAUUGCAAAGUGUAAAAAGUGGGGACAAAGUACUGCAGGUGUUGGAAUGAAAAUAAUGUUUCUGAGAGCAUUUUUUUAUAUUUUUGUGUACAUGUUUAAUGGAGAAAGGAGAUUGAAAGUUAAAUUAGAGAUGAAAAAAUCCAUUACCAUCUAUAGGGCCUAAGAGAAUCAGGUAAAAUAAUAAACUGAGCAGUGGAUACCUUUCUCUGAUGUUCUAAGUAUUUAUAAUAACAUAAUAAUAAUAUAUCUGUGUCAUUUAAACUGUAAGCCACUGGCAUAUCAUGUUUUCCUUAACCCUUCUUCAUCCUCUGGAGAAAUCCCACUCUGACAGGCUCACGCAAUGGUAUGAGAAAACCAGAUGGCAAUGGUAUGUGCCUUUCUAGUCCUCUGGCACUGCCAAAUGGCUCAUGUAACAGCUGAGCUGUACCCACUGCUCAUCGAGGCCAUUAAUCUGACCCUUCCUUCUCUGCAUGGGUGCCAGCUCUCAGCAGAGCUGCGUGGGUGUAGUUAUCCCUCAGGCUUUUCAGCUCCUAUUUCAAAUUGCCUGACGAGUUCAGAGGUUAUCAGGGGCAGAGUCAAAAGCUAAGAUGAAAACACAGAAAGCGGUUACAUUCUGAAAUGAGUGUACUGUUGUUGUAUGGAUGUUACGAUGUGUCUGCUGCUUACCAGGAAGCGUCCAUCCCAGAAGUGUGGAAAGCAACAGGUGGACGCGGAGUUCCCUGUGAAGUGCUCGGCCGCCGUGCUGUGCUCAGAGGAGGAGGAGGGAGAAGUGUCACUCCUGCCUCGCUCCUGCCUCGCUCCUGCCACACAGCUGAAGCGGGCAGGGCGCCUCGCGGCCAUGUUAGGUACGGGCAGCAGGAGCCAACCGUGUCCCUCCGUUUUCUGGGCAGGAAGUCCAUGACAAUGUUAGGAUAGCCAUCAUAGCUGAGGGCAGGAAGAGCCUCCGUGUCCAUCUUGGGUAAGGGAAAGGGAGCUCUUCAGGGGGCUGUCACUGUCACAGCUGUCUCCUAAAGAGCUGCUGUCUGUUUCAGGCGGAUGCAAUGCAGCUGAGAUAGUUCAUGUGCAUACCUGAAAAACAUCUGGAUUUUGGCUUGAGGGUGUCAAAGUCUUAAUGACUUGAUGAAAAAUGAGAUCUUUUGCUGAAGGAAGCCUGUUUUGAAUAGUGAGCUAACUGACUCAGAAAGAAAAACACCGAGCAGCAUUAUAGACAACUCAGUGCCAGAUUUCUGCCUACUGAGCAAUGAUGGUUUAAAAGGCUUCCAAAGUAAUUAAUAUGUAUCAGACUGAGUUUUCAGUGCAGAAGUAUGAACCAGUUGCUUAGCGGGAGAUGCUGAUUCCCGUGAAGUUGUUACAUUUGAAAUGACUGAGGCAUGCUGUAUAGCAAAAGUUCUUUUUCUAGUGUAAAAAUUAAGAUGCAAACUGAUAAAGAAAUCAGAAUAAACAGGUAAGGAGAAACUUGGAGAUGCAGUUUUCUAUUGAGUUCUCAUCCCUGAAACUCAUCCAUCAACAAUUUAUCCAAUCAGUUUUGUACUGAUUUUCAGACAUACAACAAAUUCCAUGUAUAAUAGCCAUACCACAUUUAAAAUAUGACAGUCUAAUAAAGCAUUUUCUACUGUAUAGAGCAGUGUGGAAACAUAAAGCAAAGUUUGAACUGUUACUUAUAUCCUUAUGUAUCUUUUGCAAAACAAACUUGCCUCAGAAGUAACUUCUAAAACAUUCUGAACUUAGCUGUCAAAAAAAGGAACUGUUUCAAAGAAGUUUUCUCCAGUGUUUAAAAAAAUUUUUCUAAUUAUCCCCUCAGAUUUAGUGAAGGGGUUACACAUUUUUAUUUUAGUGCUAUUCUUCUUCUUUAGUUUCAGCCUUAUUUUCUGUUUGUGAUCUUUUAACUCUCUGACUGGUUGUGUAAAAAAAAAAAAAUUGCAUUAUCUUUCAGUAUUAAUUGUGACAGAAUAAGCAACUACCAGUUUAAUCCUCUCUUGUCAGGUAGGUUCUCCAUUUAUUCCAUUUUCUUUCAGAUCCUUUCCUGCUUCUAUUUCUGGUUUGCAUUAAAAAAAGGAUUCCUGUAUCCAGUAUACAAAUGAGUGUCUUACCAACAUAAUAUUUAUAUUAGUGUAAUAUAUGUAGUGAGCAUAUACUGAAUGUCCUAUUCAAUUUAGAUUAUGUAAUAAAUAUGAAUUAUUAUUUUAUACAAUGAUUUAAAAUCUAUUAUUAUGUGCUAUAUAUCCUAUCUGUUUAUAUAUAUAAUGUACAUCACAUAGUAUGUUGAUACUACAUGUGUUUGGUAUAUAUAAAUAAGUAUAAUGUAACAUGCAUACCAUUAAUACAUGUUGUGCUAAUACAUAGCUAAUUUUACAUGCAUUGUUUUUUCAUUUCAAAUUAAAUCAGGCACGUUGAAAUAUUUGGCAUUUUCACUGCUAUAUCAUAUUAGCAGAACAUAGUCAUCAUGUGACCAGCUCUUAUUUGCUUUUCUAUUAAUAUAUCAAUUUAACAGAUAAAUUAAUAUUGACUUUUUGAAAUGUUUGAUGUUUUCUGUGGCUGUUUGAAAAAUGGAAAAGAUGUUUUAAAAAUAAUUAUGACUUUUUGUGCGUGUGUGUAUUUAACUGAAUGUAUUCAUUAGACGAAAUAUAAUUUUCAAAUACAAAUAAAAUACUGCUUUAAAUCUUGAGGCAGGGGAUGGAGGGGAAGAUGAGAUGAGCAGAUGAUGUUUAUGCAGUUCUUUGGUGUUUCCCUGUGGAUGUGGGCAGUCUGCACAGUCACUCCCUGCUGAAGCUGAUGGAACCCGGCCAGCCAGCAGCCAACACAACAUUUGCUGCUACCUGAUAGAAACCAUCGUGCUGAGAGACGCAGGACAGCGCCACGGAGAGCACAGCUGUAGGAGCAAGAUAGAGCAUGGAAGAAAGCAAGGCAGGCUCAAACAUUGGGCAGUUGUGGAUAUUUAGAACCCAGCUGUCCCACCUUGGCCUUUUCUCAUUUUUAUUCCAGCAACUGACAUCAAAGGCAUGCUUUUUCUAGCAGUGUCUCUUGUCCAAACCCUUCCAGAUAUUAACAGAUGGCUGUAUUUCUGCAAAACAAGGCAGAGUUCCUGGAGAUUUGUAAGGACACGUUCCAUAUGCCGAGCCCUAGUGUUUUAUGAAGCUUUAUUGCAAGUUGUAUCAAAAUAGUCUCAGUUAGUUGGUUCCCAACUCUGAAAUCUCUACAUUGAUUCUUCUUGAAGAAGAAACUCAGAUGUUUCUACAUGUUACAAUACAUGCAGAAAUAUUUUUCUUUCUCAACUGAAGGAAAUAAUAAUAUUUUGUCAAAACUAAAAUGUAUUUAAAAUGGGUAAGUGAAAAAUUCUUCUGAAUCACUCUUUAUUGGUAAUAUAUAAUAAUCUCCAGUAGGUAAGAAUCCUUUCUUCUGUACUUUUUUUUAUCAGGGAUCACAUGUCUAUUCUCUUAACUUUCUCCUGACAAAAGACUAUUUUUUAAGCAUCUAGUGGAAUUAAUUUACUGUUUAAUAAAAUGUACACUCUUACUAAGUACUUCAUUAUUAUCAUUUCACAUAGAUACACUUCUUAUUCACAUGGAAAUUUAAAAAGGGGCCAGCAAAUCUAGAAGGACAUACAUGAUGAUAAUAGCUAAAAAUUUUGGUUUGCAAGAAUAUAAACAAGGGAAGGCUUAUAAGAGGCAGUGACAUGAAAUCUUUUCUUAAACCAAGUGAUAAAAACUUUUGGCCAGGCCAUUUCAAUUCUUAAAUGGAAACAGCAAAUGAAAUUUCACUGAGACUCAUUGCGCUGAGUUGAACUUAAUCAAGUUCAGUCUUAGUCAUGUCUUUUUGUCAAGAGUAAUCUUCUACAGAAUUUAGGAGUUAACUACUUGAAAAAUCAGUGAGUCUUGCAUGGUAUCACUGCAAAAUACCUGAAGCAGCUGGAGACAGCGAGAACCUUCCCACAGAGCCCUGCCUGAGGCUGCACACUGCAUAACCCCAUUCCUAUCUCAGUUUGUAUCUAACAUUCACUUCACUACUCAUGGUGUAUCAUAACUGAAGGCUGCUGUAUCUCAAGUUAUUUACCAUGAUAAUUUUGUGUGUUAUAAUUUUGUCUGAGUUAUAUGUUCAUCUUUUGUCUAGAAAAUUACUCCAAUGAUCAAAGCAUACUUUAAUUUCUAGAGUUUGCUUUCAAUAGAUAAACAAAUGUUGUUAAUGGGCCUUAAGGAAACAGUGCAUCUAAGGAGUCAUACAUUUUCUUUUAAGUACGUAUAGAUGUAUUAUCUUGGUUUUAAUAUUUGCAAGGAGAAAAAAUGGCAUGUAGUGAGUGAGGUAGCAGCUCAUCUACACCUACUGCUGCUGACUGUUCUAGUAGCAGUCAACCAAAAGUCUAAUGUGAAUAAUUAAAUUAAAAGAGGUCAGGAGUUCGGGGGAGAUGCAUGCAUGAUAUUUUAUUUUUCUCUUUAUUGUUAAAUAAAUUACCUAUUUAGCCCUUUUAA